rnacentral:rRNA from 1 species
UACGAAGGGGGCUAGCGUUGCUCGGAAUCACUGGGCGUAAAGGGUGCGUAGGCGGGUCUUAAGUCAGGGGUGAAAUCCUGGAGCUCAACUCCAGAACUGCCUUUGAUACUGAAGAUCUUGAGUUCGGGAGAGGUGAGUGGAACUGCGAGUGUAGAGGUGAAAUUCGUAGAUAUUCGCAAGAACACCAGUGGCGAAGGCGGCUCACUGGCCCGAUACUGACGCUGAUGCACGAAAGCGUGGGGAGCAAAAGGG